AACGAACGCUGGCGGCAGGCUUAACACAUGCAAGUCGAGCGCCCCGCAAGGGGAGCGGCAGACGGGUGAGUAACGCGUGGGAAUCUACCCAUCUCUACGGAACAACUCCGGGAAACUGGAGCUAAUACCGUAUACGUCCUUCGGGAGAAAGAUUUAUCGGAGAUGGAUGAGCCCGCGUUGGAUUAGCUAGUUGGUGGGGUAAUGGCCUACCAAGGCGACGAUCCAUAGCUGGUCUGAGAGGAUGAUCAGCCACACUGGGACUGAGACACGGCCCAGACUCCUACGGGAGGCAGCAGUGGGGAAUAUUGGACAAUGGGCGAAAGCCUGAUCCAGCCAUGCCGCGUGAGUGAUGAAGGCCCUAGGGUUGUAAAGCUCUUUCAACGGUGAAGAUAAUGACGGUAACCGUAGAAGAAGCCCCGGCUAACUUCGUGCCAGCCGCCGCGGUAACAC
rnacentral:rRNA from 1 species